rnacentral:rRNA from 1 species
AUACGUAGGUGGCGAGCGUUGUCCGGAAUGAUUGGGCGUAAAGGGCGCGUAGGCGGCUUUGCAAGUCAGUAGUGGAAGUCCAUUUUUCAAGGAUGGAAGUGCUACAGAAACUGCGGAGCUUGAGUGCAGGAGAGGUUAUCGGAAUUCCCGGUGUAGCGGUGAAGUGCGUAGAGAUCGGGAGGAACACCAGUGGCGAAGGCGGGUAACUGGACUGCAACUGACGCUGAGGCGCGAAAGUGUGGGGAGCAAACAGGAUUAGAUACCCUGGUAGUCCACACUGUAAACGAUGAAUGCUAGGUGUAGGAGGUAUCGACCCCUUCUGUGCCGCAGUAAACACAGUAAGCAUUCCGCCUGGGGAGUACGGUCGCAAGAUUAAAACUCAAAGGAAUUGACGGGG